rnacentral:lncRNA from 1 species
ACUGCCCUUACUAUUAUCCUAAUACGAGCUGGGCUUGGACUGGACCCACAGGCUUUGAAGCAUCUGAAGGGAGUUUGUCUGAGAUUGUCCUUCGGUCCAUGCCUCCUAGAGGCGUGUUCAGCUGCUCUUUUCUCCCACUUCAUUAUGAACUUUCCUUGGCAAUGGGGGUUCCUAUUAGGUUUUGUUCUAGGUGCUGUCUCUCCUGCUGUUGUCGUUCCCAACAUGCUGCUGUUGCAAGAGAACGGAUAUGGUGUUGAGAAGGGCAUUCCAACCUUACUAGUGGCUGCUAGCAGUAUGGAUGACAUCGUGGCCAUCACUGGAUUCAACACAUUCUUGAGCAUAGUCUUUUCUUCGGGUAGUGUAAUUAGCAAUAUCCUAUCAUCUUUGCGGGAUGUUCUUAUUGGCGUGCUGGUAGGAGUUGUUAUGGGAAUUUUUGUUCAGUAUUUUCCAAGUAGAGAUCAGGAGAGACUUACACAGAGGCGAGCCUUCCUAGUUCUGAGUAUGUGUGUUUCUGCUGUCUUAGGCUGUCAGCACAUUGGCUUACACGGAUCUGGAGGACUGGUGACACUAGUGCUGUCCUUCAUGGCAGCAAAACGAUGGGCUGAAGAGAAGGUUGGAGUCCAAAAACUUGUUGCAAACACAUGGAAUAUUUUUCAGCCGCUUCUUUUUGGCUUAGUUGGAACAGAAGUGUCUGUUGAAUCUCUUGAAUCGAAAACUAUUGGCAUGUGCAUUGCUACCCUGUGUUUGGCACUGCUUGUUCGAAUCUUAGCCACUUUCGUGCUGAUGUCUUUUGCUAACUUUCGUUUUAUGGAGAAAGUAUUUAUUGCUUUAUCAUGGAUCCCUAAAGCUACAGUCCAGGCUGUCUUGGGCCCUCUAGCUCUAGAAACAGCAAGGGUCAUGGCACCCCACUUGGAAGGAUAUUCAAGGAAUGUGAUGACAGUGGCCUUUCUAGCAAUCCUGAUUACAGCUCCAAAUGGAGCCCUCAUCAUUGGCAUACUGGGACCCAAAGUACUUGAUCAUAGUGAGGAGACAUUCCCUUUAAAAGUGGAGCUUUCAAACUUUCAUAAUUAAAAGUUUGCUAUUACCACCUGCUUUGUCUAAUGAAUUAUCUCACAUGACGGGAAAAAAAAAAACCAUCACAGUACAAAAGUUUAAAGACUGUUCAUAAAACCCAGGAUUCACUAAAUGCACAAUUUCUCUGCAAGGCUUUCCUCCGGUUCAAAGUGAAUUUAAUAAAAAUAGUUAACUAC